rnacentral:rRNA from 1 species
CAGUAGCCGCGGGAAUACGAAGGUCCCGAGCGUUGUUCGGAAUCACUGGGCGUAAAGGGAGCGUAGGCGGCGUGGUCAGUCAGAUGUGAAAUCCCGGGGCUCAACCCCGGAACUGCAUCCGAUACUGCCGUGCUAGAGGAUUGGAGAGGUAGCUGGAAUUCUUGGUGUAGCAGUGAAAUGCGUGGAGAUCAAGAGGAACACUCGUGGCGAAAGCGAGCUACUGGACAAUAUCUGACGCUGAGGCUCGAAGGCCAGGGUAGCGAAAGGGAUUAGAUACCCCAGUAGUCCCUGUCUCUUAUAC